rfam:Leisingera methylohalidivorans DSM 14336 strain MB2, DSM 14336, complete genome.
GGCCACCUUAGUAGCUUGUUCCAAACGGAACCUGCGGGCGGGGGGCUUUCAACAUAGCGGGUCCAAAGACAAUAACCUAAGGGCCUGCACGCUAAACGGAAGACAGAAA